ACGAACGCUGGCGGCGUGCUUAACACAUGCCAGUCGCACGGAAAGGCCCUGCUUUUGUGGGGUGCUCGAGUGGCGAACGGGUGAGUAACACGUGAGUAACCUGCCCUUGACUUUGGGAUAACUUCAGGAAACUGGGGCUAAUACCUGAUAGGAGCUCCUGCUGCAUGGUGGGGGUUGGAAAGUUUCGGCGGUUGGGGAUGGACUCGCGGCUUAUCAGCUUGUUGGUGGGGUAGUGGCUUACCAAGGCUUUGACGGGUAGCCGGCCUGAGAGGGUGACCGGCCACAUUGGGACUGAGAUACGGCCCAGACUCCUACGGGAGGCAGCAGUGGGGAAUAUUGCACAAUGGGCGGAAGCCUGAUGCAGCAACGCCGCGUGCGGGAUGACGGCCUUCGGGUUGUAAACCGCUUUCGCCUGUGACGAAGCGUGAGUGACGGUAAUGGGUAAAGAAGCACCGGCUAACUACGUG
rnacentral:rRNA from 1 species